CAGAUGGCAGAGAAGCUGAAAGGAGAUCAGCAGCCAGGGAGCACCAGGAGUUCCAUAACACCUUCUAUAAGGUGUCAUUAGUGGGAUAGAGUGAGCAUUCAGUAAAGGAAGUGGUGAUCACCAAGGGCCCAGCAGGGGCAGCUUGAUGAAUAACAGGCCUCCUAUACAGCGUGAGUAUGGAGGGGAGCGAGAGGCAAGGAGAAUAUCGUAGACACCCCCAGUGCCAGGAUGGCAAUGAAGGUGGCAAGAAGUGCUAACAUGUUGAAUGACAAAAACCAGGACCCCCAAAAGAUCACUCCAAUCGUGGAAGUCACACAGUGGAAGUAUCCUCCGGCUCCUCAGCCUCUCCUGAUUGGAUGGCUCCUCCCAGAACCUGCAUUAAGAAAGCCACCCAUGUCCUCAUUCCUCUCCAGGCUGCACUCCAGAUUUUCUGUACCACGCUGCCAAGCAGGGCACCUUCCUUGCCCCCUUCCUUUUAUGUUUAACCUUCUCCCCUUAGAUUGUAAGCUCCUUGAGGGCAGGGACUGUCUUUGUGCUUGUGUUUGUAUUCCCAGCAUUUAGCACAGUGCCUGGCCCACAGUUAGCGUUUAACAAAUGCUUGUUGACUGAAUGAAUGCAGAAUAAAGCUUGAGUUUGCCCUA